UGCGUGUUUAAACAAUAGAGGAGAUAAUUAAUUGAUCACAGUCAGUUACAAAUUUCUUUGUUCUUUCUCCACUCCCCCUGCUUCACUCGACUCGUCUUUA
rnacentral:Y_RNA from 1 species